rnacentral:rRNA from 1 species
CCUAAUGGGAAAUUUAAGAGCAUAUGGUGGAUGCCUUGACUCUAAGAGGCGAUGAAGGACGUAGCGUAGCUGCGAUAAGCUUCGGGGAGGUGCCUAGCAACCUUUGAUCCGGAGAUCUCCGAAUGGGGAAACCUAUUCCGAUGCAAAUCGGAAUCUUCUGACGCAAGUCAGAGAGCGUACCCAGGGAAGUAAAACAUUUCAGUACCUGGUGGAAAAUAAAACAAUGUCGCGUAAGCGACGACAUUUCCUUAGUAGUGGCGAGCGAAAAGGAAAUAGCCCAGAUCGGUCGCGCCUCGUUGGAUUCGUCACGACAGCUUUUAGUUUUUAGCUAUCAGCUUUUAGCUUUCAAAUUCAGGAAGCUAACAGUCAGAAGCUUACAGCUAUUAGUCUGCAGUGCCGAGGACAGCGAGGCGCGACUGAAGUAGUAAGGCGGCAACUUCAUUAUUUAUAAUGAGAAAAGUUACAAAAUAUUUCGUUAGCAGAAUUUGCUGGGAAGCAAAGCCCUAGAGGGUAAUAGCCCCGUAAGUGAAAAUGAAAUAUCUUUUCCGUUGCCGUUCUUGAGUACCUCAAGACACGAAUGGCUUGGGGGAAUCUGCCGGAACUAACCGGUAAGGCUAAAUACUCUUAGAGAUCGAUAGUGAACAAGUACCGUGAGGGAAAGGUGAAAAGCAGCCCGGUAAGGGCGGUGAAAUAGACCUGAAACCAUAUGCUUACAAGGAGUCGGAGUCCCUCACCAAUUUUGUGUUGUAGAAUUUUUCUAGAACCCAAAAUUGGUGAGUGGAUCACGGCGUGCCUAUUGAAGAAUGAGCCAACGAGUUGAUGUAAGCUGCUUAGCUAAGCCCCCAAAGGGUGGAGCUGUAGGGAAACCGAGUGUGAAUAGCGCGUUUGUAGUAUACAUCAGACCCGAAGCCAAGUGAGCUUGCCAUGAGCAGGGUGAAUCCCGACGAAAGUCGGGAGGAGGCCCGAACCGGUUAGCCGUGCAAUACUAUCGGAUGACUUGUGGUAAGAAGUGAAAAGCUAAUCGAACUUGGUAAUAGCUGGUUCUCUCCGAAAUAGCUUUUGGGCUAGCGUCUGGAUUACCUUUUGGGGGUAGAGCACUGGAUGGUCUAAACAGGGAGAAAUCUCAUUAGACCAAUCAAACUCCGAAUACCAGAAGUAAACUUCCAGGCAGUUAGACCGUGGGGGCUAAGCUCCAUUGGUCAAAAGGGAAACAGCCCGGAUCUCAACUUAAGGUCCCUAAAUCUACGCUAAGUACGCUUGAGGUGGUGGAAUUUCACAGACAGUGAGGAUGUUGGCUUAGAAGCAGCCAUCAUUUAAAGAUAGCGUAACAGCUCACUCACUAAGAGAUUCUGCGCCGCAGAUAAUCGGGGUUAAGCAUAGUACCGAAAUUGAGGAUGUCAUUUUGCUUCGGCAGAAUGGCGUGGUAGGAGAGUAUUCUCAUCGCGAUGAAGCCAAAGGCGCGAGCCAUGGUGGAGCGUUGAGAAGUAAGAAUGUUGGCACAAGUAACCACAAUGCGGGUGAGAACCCCGCACGCCGAAAGACCAAGGUUUCCUUGGCGAUGUCAAUCAGCCAAGGGUUAGUCGGGCCUAAGGGGAUGGCGAAAGCCGCACCCGAUGGACACAUGGUUAAUAUUCCAUGACUUUUAUGUGUUGUGACGGGAGGACGGAGUCUAGUAUGUUUUGCGCAUUAUUGGAUUUGCGUUCGUGUCGCAAGAAGGGCUUCCAGGAAAAUCCGGAAGCGAGCCGUAAGAAGGCACCCUCCAAGCGAAGCGAAAAUUUGCCGGUUCGCCGGUGAAAAUAAAACAAAGCAGACUCUCAAGAAAAUUCUCUAAACUUAAAUACAUAAAAUCCGUACCGCAAACCGACACAGGUGGUCAGCUCGAGUAGAGCAAGGCGAACGAGUGAGAGGUCCCCAAGGAACUCGGCAAAAAAGCAGCCGUAACUUCGGAAUAAGGCUUCCCCUCACCAAUUUUGGGCUAUAAUUGCAAAAUGUAUUAUGUGUAUCUGAUUCAGCAUGACCUUUCGAGAGAAAUCUAUAUCGGUUUAACAACUGAUCCGAAAGAGCGAUUGCGAACGCACAAUGGCAAAGGUAAAAAAUUUACUACCAGAAAAUCUGGCAUGUGGCAUUUUAUUUACCUUGAGCUCUUUCGUUCACAGCAAGACGCUAUCGAUCGCGAGAAAAAACUGAAAGGUCACGCAAAAGGAAAACACGAACUUCUCAAGCGACUAAAAUAUAGUUUGCUUGAGCCCAAAAUUGGUGAGGGGCGCAGCUAAAGUAUCUCUGGCAACUGUUUAUCAAAAACACAGCUCCCUGCGAACUCGCAAGAGGAUGUAUAGGGGGUGACACUUGACCAAUGCCAGAAGGUCAAACAACGACGGUGCCAAGCACCACUUUUGACGGAAUAUCAAUGUGAUUAUUUUAAAGUUUAUUUGGAAAAUAUUUUAAAGUUAUUACAAAAAGUAUUAUUUCAAAAGUGGUGCUCGGUGCUGAUUGUUGUAAGCCCUGGUGAAUGUCGGCCGUAACUAUAGAUUUGACCGUUGUAGUUACGCUAAAAAAUCUUGCUAUAUGCUGGAAACUCUGGUCCAUCAUUUAUUUAAAAAUAAGUGAUGGAAAAAAGUGUUCAUUAUUACUCGCUUUCAUCGAAAAGCAGUGACAAUAUAAUGACGCAGACAAUCAGCAGGAAAGACUUCUUUUGUAAUCAAAAGUAAAUAUGAAUUGGUUAAGCCAAAUCAAACCGGAUAUGGGAAACUAUAUCGCGGGAUUCACUGACGGCGAAGGAAGCUUCAAUGUUUCAGUGAAAAAGAGAAUUGAUUACAGAGAUCAAUGGAAAUUGACCGCUUCGUUCAAUAUUUCUCAAAAAGAUCGCGUCAUUCUGGCUCUUAUUAAAAAAGAGAUUGGAUGUGGGACUUUGCGAGAAAGAAAAGACGGGGUUGUUUAUUAUGAAGUGACCAAUAUCACUUCUCUGAAAGAAAGAAUAAUCCCGUUUUUUAAACGGUUCGGAUUUCUUUCAGCGCGAAAAAAGACAAAUUUUUCUAUUUUCUCUUCUAUUGUUGAGAAAAUGGCAGACGGAGAACAUCUGACAGAAGAAGGUUUUCAGAAAAUUCUUGAACUAAGAGAAAUUCUUAAUGAGGGAAAAGGAAGAAAACGAAAAUAUAAUUUAUCAGAUUGCGUAUCAAAAGAAGAAUCCUCAGAGACUAUACGCAAGACGGUUUCAAAUUAAUUGAAUGUCGACGAUUUGAAGACGAUGAUAUAGUCCGAUCUCUCUAGCGAUAGAGAGUUAACAAAUAGUUAAAAUUGAUAAACAGAGACUGCUAAGUUGAAGCAUUGUUUGGUGCUAAGCUACAAAAUAUAAACGGUCCUAAGGUAGCGAAAUUCCUUGUCAGGUAAGUUCUGACGCGCACGAAUAGUGUAAUGACUGGAGAACUGUCUCGGGGGCUUGCUCGGUGAAAAUACAAUACCGGUGAAGAUGCCGGUUACCUGCAGCUAGACGAAAAGACCCUAGGAGCUUUACUGCAAUUUUAUAUUGAGUGUAUGUUUCAACUGCGUAGCGUAGACGGGAGACUUUGAAGUUUCGUUCUCGGACGAAAUGGAGUCGCCGAUGAAACACCGUUCUUUUGUGAUAUGCAUUCUAAUCCGCGCGGCAAAAACGCGCGGCGACAGUAUAUGAUGGGCAGUUUUAGUGGGGCGCUAUCCUCCUAAAAAGUAACGGAGGAGCCUAUUAAGGUUGGCUAAGCGCGAAUGGAAACCGUGCUGAUAGUGUAAUGGCACAAGCCAGCUUGACUGCAAGGCGUACUUGCCGAGCAGGCGCGAAAGCGGAGCAUAGUGAACCGACGGCCCGCAUUAGACGCGGCCAAAGAUUAUCGGACAAAAGCUACCCUAGGGAUAACAGGCUGGUAGUGCCUAAGCGUCCAUAGCGACGGCACUGUUCGGCACCUCGAUGUCGGCUCAACUUAUCCUGGGGGUGGAGAAGCUCCCAAGGGUUUGGCUGUUCGCCAAUUAAAAAGUUACGCGAGCUGGGUUCAGACCGUUUAGAAGAAAACUCGAAAUUCGAAUAUCGAAAUUCGAAACAAUAUUUAAAUUUCAAAUUAUAAAUUCAAAACGAAAAUUCUCGUUUAGGAUUUUGAGUUUUGAAUAUUUGAAUUUGUUUCGUGCUUCGGAUUUAUUAUUUCGUGCUUGUCUUUUAGGCAAUCUGAAUCCUAGAGGAAUUUUCGUCUAUGAAAAAGUCUAGAUUUUUAUUCAUAAAAAUCUAGUGUCCGACAGAAAUGUCGGAAAAUAGAAAACCAAUCAAAUCACGGCGGUCUAUUGUAGAAAUGCAAUGUGAUCAAACUGACUAAUAUCGGUGGAAUCCAAUUUGGAUAAUACCGAGGGAAGUUUACUUCAGAUUUAUUUGUGAUACAAUUUUUGCAUGAAUAUGGAAUCUGUACCACAAGAGAGUUCCGACUGGAAUUCUUUGCAAGAAGAUUGGGAUAGAGCAUACAAGGCUCUUCCUGAUAAUAAAAUAACUGAAGAAGUUAUAAGAAUUACUCAAGAAGCUGAAGAAAGAAAGGGGAUACAAAAUAUAGAAAAAUAUCUUAAAGAUAAUUUUGAAAAAUUAUCUCAAGAACACAAAGAUUUUCUCCUUAUGAUCCUUAGAGUAAAAAACUAUAAACUGCAAUCUAAAUAAACACCCGUAGAGACUAAAUGUUAGUUAUUUGCGAAAGCAGAAAAAGUUAUAGUCCGAUGCGUUUAGUAAUAGACGAUAUCAUGCGUGAGACAGGUUGGUCUCCUAUCUGCUGCAGGCGUUGAUUCUUGAGAAGAUUUGUUCCUAGUAAGUAAUUGCUACUUUCAUGAGUAAUCAUGAUUGAAAAUUCUGCUCAUAACGGUGAAGCCUUCAUAUGAUUUCGGUCUUAGAAUUUUAACACUUGAGGUCCUUGUGUUAUAAUUUGCUUGAGGACCAGAAUCCUCUUUAAGGUAAUACCGUGGGAAGUCGAUCUAAAAUCGCAAAAGAAAUUGAUAUAGCAUACAUUGCGGGUUUUCUUGAUGGUGAUGGAAGCUUAAUGCUUCAAAUCAAGAAACGGAAAGACGGCAAUAUCGGAAUCCGAUUUAUGCCGACAAUUUGUUUCUAUCAGGAUACUCGCCAUGAGAAAACUUUGUACUGGAUACAAGAAGUUUUAGGCAUUGGAUAUCUUUCCAAACGGAAUGAUGGAAUGACUGAACUUCGGAUAAAUGGCUACAAGCAAGUGAGAGAUAUUCUCAAUAUCUUGUUGCCUUAUAUCCGAUUUAAAAAACUUCAAGGCGAUGCGUUAAAAAACGCAUGCGAAAUCCUUUCCGAUACAAAAUUUAAGAUGUUAAGCAAAGAGAAGUUAAAAGAACUCGUUAAUUAUAUUUUGGUAAUACAGGGUGAAAACUAUGUAACCAAGAAAAAGAAAACACGAGAAGAAUUUCUUGCGAUGUUAGGUUUGACCCCGUAACGACUUAUGUUGAAAGAUACAUAGACUUAUGCGUUGAGGAAUCCAUAUCCUUAGUUUACAAAAAACUAAGAUGGACAGCUCGCAUGGGUAAAAUGCAGAACUCCUGAUAAUUUAGAUUAUCAGGAAUAAGGUAUAGUCUACACUCCUAGAAAUAGGGGAUAAAUUCCAGUUUCGCUUUUCGCGAGAUUGAGAAAUGUGACGAGAGGACCGGAAUGAACUAACCUCUGGUCUAUCUGCUGUCCCGCCAGGGGCAACGCAGAGUAGCUAUGUUGGGAAUGGAUAACCUCUGAAAGCAUCUAAGAGGGAAGCCAACUUCAAGAUUAGGAAUCGUUUGAGACCCCUAAGAGAUUAUUAGGUUGAUAGGCUCUAGGUGUACGCGCAGCAAUGCGUUUAGCCGAGGAGUACUAAUCCGUCGAUUCUUAUUAGGAA